UACGUAGGGUGCUAGCGUUGUUCGGAAUCAUUGGGCGUAAAGCGCGUGUAGGCGGUUUGGUAAGUCGAUUGUGAAAUCCCUGGGCUCAACCGAGGAAGUGCAGUCGAAACUACCUGGCUAGAAGACGGCAGAGGAAGGUGGAAUUCCUAGUGUAGAGGUGAAAUUCGUAGAUAUUAGGAGGAAUACCGGUGGCGAAGGCGGCCUUCUGGACCGAUCUUGACGCUGAGACGCGAAAGCGUGGGGAGCAAACAGG
rnacentral:rRNA from 1 species